AUGCUUGCAUUGGUAGCACAUAUACUAAAAAAUUGGAACUAUAUGGAGUAGAUUAGCAUGGUCCCUGAGCAAGAAGGACACAUAAAUCCAUGAAGCAUACCUUAUUUUU